rnacentral:rRNA from 1 species
UACGAAGGGUGCGAGCGUUGUCCGGAAUUAUUGGGCGUAAAGAGCUUGUAGGCGGUUUGUCGCGUCUGCCGUGAAAAUUCGAGGCUCAACCUCGAACUUGCGGUGGGUACGGGCAGACUAGAGUGUGGUAGGGGAGACUGGAAUUCCUGGUGUAGCGGUGGAAUGCGCAGAUAUCAGGAGGAACACCGGUGGCGAAGGCGGGUCUCUGGGCAGUAACUGACGCUGAGGAGCGAAAGCGUGGGGAGCGAACAGG